rnacentral:rRNA from 1 species
GACGGAAGGUGCAAGCGUUGCUCGGAAUCACUGGGCGUAAAGGGUGCGUAGGCGGGUCUUUAAGUCAGGGGUGAAAUCCUGGAGCUCAACUCCAGAACUGCCUUUGAUACUGAAGAUCUUGAGUCCGGGAGAGGUGAGUGGAACUGCGAGUGUAGAGGUGAAAUUCGUAGAUAUUCGCAAGAACACCAGUGGCGAAGGCGGCUCACUGGCCCGGUACUGACGCUGAGGCACGAAAGCGUGGGGAGCAAACAGG